CCCUUAGAUGUCCUGGGCCGCACGCGUGCUACACUGACGCCCUCAGCAAGUUUCAUCCUGGCCCGAAGGGGUCCGGGUAAUCUUUUUAAUUGGCGUCGUGCUUGGGAUUGCCCUUUGCAAUUAUGGGGCAUGAACGAGGAACUCCUAGUAAGUGCAAAUCAUUACUUUGUGCUGAUUACGUCCCUGCCCUUUGUACACACCGCCCGUCGCUCCUACCGAUUUUGAGUGAUCCGGUGAACUUUCUGGACAGUAGCUCCGGCUGAUUGGAAGUUAAGUGAACCUUAUCACUUAGAGGAAGGAGAAGUCGUAACA
rnacentral:rRNA from 1 species